ACGUUAGCACGUUAUUGCAAUAUCCCAUAGUACAUACAUGUUAUUAAAACUUGAACUAAUGCAUUGUGAGUCUUAUAAAUUGCUUACAUACCUCACCGAUUUCCCACUGUCUGGAAAACGCUCGGUUUAGUUCCUGUCUCCGCCUCCCAAAAUGUCUAGUGUAUUCGGAUUGGUCAGAUGACUACUCAACUGUUAUUGGUCAGCUGGGUUCGGCGUGUGUUUGAAAGGUUACGCCCCUGACUACGCGUGGGUUGACACAGAUUCUGACUGAGAGUCACAGCCUCAGAGGCAACGUAAACAAGCGCUAUAUUUCUCUAUAAACGAUGGUGUCUGUACUGCCUUACCACUUCGAGCUCGAUCCAGAGAGUUCAGAAGGCCGUUACGAUAUAAACGAUCUCCGUCAAUGAAUGCGAUUGGAUUUAACUUUUUUAGGUGUCCUUAGCUCUGCCAGAAUGCUAAACGAAGACGAAAAUGUGUUGCAAAGACAUCCAAAAGGUUUUAAGGAGAAUGCAACAGGUUCCAGGGCCUCUUACCUGCGUGAUUCAUCAUCCAGGUUUUGCACAAAUUGUCUAAAUCCCUACACACAGAACAUUUAUUGUACGGACUAUAAGCCUUUGAGGCGCAGGACUAGAAUAUGCUUGGAGCUUCCUGAUCGGAAUGUUGGCUUCCGACGACCCCUGCACUGAAGAUGGCAUGCAAUCACGUCCUCCUUUGAAGGUCUCUCAAACUGUGAUGCCAGGUCCAUUGGAAUCGGGGUUUCCUUCAGCUUAU